rnacentral:rRNA from 1 species
UACGAAGGGUGCAAGCGUUAAUCGGAAUUACUGGGCGUAAAGCGUGCGUAGGCGGUGAGUUAAGUCUGUCGUGAAAUCCCCGGGCUCAACCUGGGAAUGGCGAUGGAUACUGGCUCGCUAGAGUGUGAUAGAGGAUGGUGGAGUUCCCGGUGUAGCGGUGAAAUGCGUAGAGAUCGGGAGGAACAUCAGUGGCGAAGGCGGCCAUCUGGAUCAACACUGACGCUGAGGCACGAAAGCGUGGGGAGCAAACAGG